GAUGAACGCUAGCUACAGGCUUAACACAUGCAAGUCGAGGGGAAACGGCAUCGAAAGCUUGCUUUUGAUGGGCGUCGACCGGCGCACGGGUGAGUAACGCGUAUCCAACCUGCCCAUCACUUGGGAAUAACCUUGCGAAAGUAAGACUAAUGCCCAAUGACAUCCCACGAAGGCAUCCGAAUGGGAUUAAAGAUUUAUCGGUGAUGGAUGGGGAUGCGUCUGAUUAGCUUGUUGGCGGGGUGACGGCCCACCAAGGCAACGAUCAGUAGGGGUUCUGAGAGGAAGGUCCCCCACAUUGGAACUGAGACACGGUCCAAACUCCUACGGGAGGCAGCAGUGAGGAAUAUUGGUCAAUGGGCGAGAGCCUGAACCAGCCAAGUAGCGUGCAGGAUGACGGCCCUAUGGGUUGUAAACUGCUUUUAUAAGGGAAUAAAGUGGGUCACGUGUGACUUUUUGCAUGUACCUUACGAAUAAGGACCGGCUAAUUCCGUG
rnacentral:rRNA from 1 species